rnacentral:rRNA from 1 species
UGGGGAAUAUUGGACAAGGGGCGAAAGCCUGAUCCAGCCAUGCCGCGUGUGUGAAGAAGGUCUUCGGAGUGUAAAGCACUUUAAGUUGGGAGGAAGGGCAUUAACCUAAUACGUUAGUGUUUUGACGUUACCGACAGAAUAAGCACCGGCUAACUCUGUGCCAGCAGCCGCGGUAAUACAGAGGGUGCAAGCGUUAAUCGGAAUUACUGGGCGUAAAGCGCGCGUAGGUGGUUUGUUAAGUUGGAUGUGAAAUCCCCGGGCUCAACCUGGGAACUGCAUUCAAAACUGACUGACUAGAGUAUGGUAGAGGGUGGUGGAAUUUCCUGUGUAGCGGUGAAAUGCGUAGAUAUAGGAAGGAACACCAGUGGCGAAGGCGACCACCUGGACUAAUACUGACACUGAGGUGCGAAAGCGUGGGGAGCAAACA